ACUGGAACUCCUCUACUGGAGAUUCAGGAGACGACAGCAGAGAGGUGCCGAUUGAAGCAUCGUCCGAAUUAUAUUUCUUUGUGACGAGAAGUAGUUUGUUCCGAAUAGCCGCAACGACCCUCAGUUCACUUCCGUGGUAAUGUCUCAGAAUGUCAGUGAAAAGAAGGUCUUUCAACGUGCAAUUUGAAGACAAACAUUUUAAAAAACUUAAAUGAAUUAAUGCCUUCAGCUUCCAUUUUCUCAGUUCUUCCCAAAUUAAUCCCCAAAGUCUCCUUUCUUGACCAAAGCAUGCUUCGGAAGUUCUUCAGUGCCGUUUCUCAUAAAUUAAGGUAAAUUCCCAAGCAUCCCUCGAGCACUUUCCCACUAUGACUUAACAUGCGAAGAAAAAGCCAUUCUGCAUAUUCAUUCACCAUGUGGCCGUCCACGAUACAAGCUAAUCAGCUUCUGAACUGCAUGAAACUGAGCUAAAAAGACAGAGGACCAAACACAACCCCCCAAAGAAUCAACGCAGAAUAGUUAGAUUGCUUUCAACUCUGCGGCCAGUGCUGAUGCAAGCAGAUGAUCGGUAACAGUCCGCUGUUCGAUACACACUUUACCAAAACCUUACAAGUAUCUUUAGAAUAUGAGGUCUUCUUUCUUCCAAUAUUAAGAUGGUAUUUGAUGAAAAAGAUGUUAGAUGAAAAAGUUUUGCAAAAGGAAGAUAAAACAUGAAGGUAAGUGGAAAACUAAUUGUCACUGGAGUAGUUGCAGGGACACACUGCAAGUUUAGCAGCAAGAAAGAUGAAGGGAAUUACUCUCCGAGGCUCCACUCAACCUCUUUCUCUCAUUUAAAGAUAAGCAGAGCUGCCAAAAGACAGCUAAGGAUCAAAAAAAUGAAGCUAAGCCUCAUCACGCCAAGGAGCAAACUUUAAAGCACGGAGGUCAGCUUGAACAUCAUAGUACCAACAGGACAGGAUAGAUACGGAGUGAUGAACUAGAGACUGGAAAGCAUCAUUCAGAGAUAUUUUUCUCCUAACACGAUCGAAUUACCAAAAUGUUAGCAGAACGAAACAAAAUGUCAGAAUUUUCAAAGUCCUCUUCCUUAGCGAAUGACUGCAAAUGCAUCUUUUGUAAGUGAAAAAUAACUGAAGCUGAAUCAUUUUCUUCAGCAUUCUGUGAGUAUUUUUGGGCACUUACCUCACCAGAGGAGCCAUUUUCCACACGGAACCGUCCAGCUCUUUGAAUGGCUCCAUCAGCGUCACUAGAUAUAAGCUAUAAGAGAGUUUAACAUAGAGGUUCUAUUUCCAAAAAUAGCCAUAUGAUCAGCAAUCAAAACUUACUACCAUUUCUUUUUGUUCCAGGCAUCAUGACUCCCCACAGAGAAGGGAUCAGUCUAGCUAUUAUCAAUUUGACUAAAGAUUUUGAAUGACCCGGUAAGAACUCUGAGACACAAAUGUGAUGCUACUGUGGAAAACAUGAAGCAAGAAAAGUUAGGUCUGAAACAUUUAGAAAUUUGAAAGGGAAACAAGAACUUUUAAACAUCUGUACUCCAAAAAUGACACACCUUCAUGAAAUGCUAGCAGCAUUUUUAAGAAAAACAACCAAGAAAUGAGACCAUUCCUGUGAACUUACUCUGAAUUAAUAAUUCUAAAUAACUUUUUAUUUUCCAGCAAAAGACUUUAAGUACUAGGAAUGAAAGAACCUCUUACCAGAAAACAGUUUACUUGCAUUUUUGGAUUAAAACACACAUCUUUUAUGUAGAACGUACGGAAAGAAGAGAAAGAUACCUGGUGUUCCCGCAAUGCAACUUCCAGCAACUAGGCUACCAUUUUACACCCAAUUUACAUACACGUUAGUAAAUGUACUACCCAAGAACUUUAAAAUUACAACUACAGCUUGUAGAAAACUUGUGCUUUCAUCCCACAGUAACAGAGCUGAAGCUCAUUUUCUUAACUCCUCCCCACUUCUGUUAUCCUAGAGUAAAUUAAUGUAAUUUCAUUAUGACCUUGUAAUCAGAAUGACACUGCUGACAUAUUUUCACAACGCAGAAGAAACUGAUAUAUGAGAAAAACAUAGUGCCAACUUAAUCUCUGAAUUUCAAGAAAAUGCAGAAUAACUGACAGAUUCUAGAGAACCAUUUUCAAAAUCCUAAUUCUGAACUAGGUUGUUUAGUUUUAAGCCCUCUCCCACUGCUAUGAGUCAUGUACAUAUAAAAUUACACACACAUGUAUGUACACACAUGAGCAUGUACACAGUUUAUAGCUUACAUAAUUGCUAGUACUUCAUUAAAUACUACCCUAAUAUUUUGCCGUCUUCAGUUUCUAAGAAGAAAAAAGGCUCAAUUUCCAUCUGGAGGUAAACACAGUAUUUAUAUAAAGCUUCCUUUCCUGUUACAAUGAAAAAUUAAUUAAUAAGGUAGUAACAAGAUCUCCUAUCAUAGGUCUGAUAUGUCUAUUCAGAAGCCGCUUUAUAUUAGCUUAUAACUUUCAAGUCUAGCUGAGAACGCACAUUUUCCGAACUAGAUCCAAUUCUCUUACUUGGAAAAGAAAAGGAUUAGAGCUCUGCAUUAUAAGCUGAGAAACUGAGGACAGGCUACGUAUACUUACAAGCUCCACAGAUCCAUAAUGCUUUCUGCUAAACUCUCCGCGUCUGCAACCCAGAUCUUCAGAGACGGAGCUGGAACAGAAACUCUUCAUCAGUGUACACAAGUCAACUAGCCUUACAUUUCCCGCAAUGCUAUACCCUGCCAUUAAAAAAAAUAUCAUUUCUGCCGAACACAGUUCACAGCACAUAAACUCAUUGCUGCAGGGAACAUUUCUUACAGCAUGCACAAUCUCUAGCAGCCAUUGCAGUCUGGCUUUCACAUAACUCCCAAAGCAAAUGUCCAUGUCCUGAUUGGAAGCAAAAGCUAUGAUUAAAUUAAAUACUGAGGCAUGAUGCAGUCAGAUUUCCAAAGGAGGUGGUAGCUCAUAAUCACGUUCGAAAAGUAAACUUAAUGCCUCAAAGAGGACAACUGCACUAUAAAACUCAGUAAGACCACAUUUAGUAGGUUGCUACAGAUUUUUUCAGCCUACACACAAUGAGAAAAGAAACCAGUACUUUAAUUUAAGAGCACGAGGAAACAACACCACUUCAGGUUUCCCUCCACCACCUUAACAAAGACAGCAAACAAAAGCAAUCCUAGAACGCGAAGUUCAAAAUCCGCCUGCGUUACCAACCUCAAGCCAUCGUAUCACAUUACUCGCCACCUCUUCACAAACUACGUUCCAACUAAUUUGAACACAGACUGCCUUGCCACAAACCACACCCUUUCGUAUCAAAAGCAGUUUUCUGACAGCACUCUCAGUAAUUCAUAAAACAGGAGUAUAUCUGAGCUAAUGAUUAAAACAAGACUGUUUUAAUAUCAAUAUUGUCACCUGUGUCCUAAUUCAAACUACCUAAAACAUACCUAAACUUCGAACACACUAGCAGUCCUUUUAAAAAUCAGAAUUAUACCCAAGAGCAAAUCUCUGCUUCUUCUCAACCUAACUACUUUAUAUCACACGUCACUUGCUUCAUAUCUCGUAACUAAAGCAGAAUCUCACACCAACAUCAAUGCUACAACCUCAUAAAAAUUAGGCUUCAACUUAGGCACGGGUAAGAUUCACAUUACCAUGCUAUUUGCCUAAGUGCAUAUACUCCCUAACUGAUUCUUGCUGAGCCUGCAUACCUCUUUGGCUCUCCAUUCUGGGUUACCACCAAGAUUUGUACUCAACUCUCUGACAUAUCACAUCUGCUAAUUAAAAAAAUACACCGUGAUUAAAAUCAACUGUUCAUAUUAAUUUUUUUCAUUGAAUUACAUCCUUCCUCAGUCCUGAUCUAUAUAAGAAAAACGGCUGCUCCAGUUGUGACACCUUUAGAGUAGUUUUCAUCAUACUAAGAUGAACUGCCAGCACUGAGGAGGUUAGUUCAUCAGUGCUUCACAUCAGUUGGGCAUAA